rnacentral:rRNA from 1 species
AGUGAACGCUGGCGGUAGGCCUAACACAUGCAAGUCGAACGGCAGCACAGUAAGAGCUUGCUCUUACGGGUGGCGAGUGGCGGACGGGUGAGGAAUACAUCGGAAUCUACUUUUUCGUGGGGGAUAACGUAGGGGAACUUACGCUAAUACCGCAUACGACCUACGGGUGAAAGCAGGGGAUCUUCGGACCUUGCGCGAUUGAAUGAGCCGAUGUCGGAUUAGCUAGUUGGCGGGGUAAAGGCCCACCAAGGCGACGAUCCGUAGCUGGUCUGAGAGGAUGAUCAGCCACACUGGAACUGAGACACGGUCCAGACUCCUACGGGAGGCAGCAGUGGGGAAUAUUGGACAAUGGGCGCAGGCCUGAUCCAGCCAUACCGCGUGGGUGAAGAAGGCCUUCGGGUUGUAAAGCCCUUUUGUUGGGAAAGAAAAGCAGCAGGUUAAUACCCCGCUGUUCUGACGGUACCCAAAGAAUAAGCACCGGCUAACUUCGUG